GCUGACACAUUGCAGCCAAUCAGCAGCAGACCCUCCCUCCCAGACCCUCCCACCUCUUGGACAGCAUCCAUUUUGAAGCUGCAUUCUUAGUGAGCUGUCCAGGAGUUUGGAGGGUCUUGGAGGGAGGGUCUGCUGCUGAUUGGCUGGAAUGUGUCA